CCCCUAGAUGUUCUGGGCCGCACGCGCGCUACACUGAACAGUUCAACAAGUCUUAACCUUGGCCGAUAGGUCUGGGUAAUCUUUGAACGCUGUUCGUGAUUGGGAUAGACCUUUGCAAUUAUGGGUCUUCAACGAGGAAUUCCUAGUAAACGCAAGUCAUCAGCUUGCAUUGAUUACGUCCCUGCCCUUUGUACACACCGCCCGUCGCACCUACCGAUUGAAUGGUCCGGUGAAGCGCUCGGACCGCGGCCUCUUGACGGUUCGCUGUCGAUUGGCUGUGGGAAGUUCGUUAAACCUUAUCAUUUAGAGGAAGGAGAAGUCGUAACA
rnacentral:rRNA from 1 species